rnacentral:rRNA from 1 species
GAGUUUGAUCGUGGCUCAGGAUGAACGCUAGCGGCAGGCUUAACACAUGCAAGUCGAGGGGCAGCGGGGAGGAAGCUUGCUUUCUCCGCCGGCGACCGGCGCACGGGUGAGUAACACGUAUGCAACCUGCCCCUGUCAGGGGACAACCCGCCGAAAGGCGGGCUAAACCCGCGUACAUGCCACCGGGGCAUCCCGGAGGCAGGAAAGGCUUCGGCCGGACAGGGAUGGGCAUGCGGCGCAGUAGGCAGUAGGCGGGGUAACGGCCACCUAACCGACGAUGCGUAGGGGUUUUGAGAGGAAGGUCCCCCACACUGGUACUGAGACACGGACCAGACUCCUACGGGAGGCAGCAGUGAGGAAUAUUGGUCAAUGGUCGGGAGACUGAACCAGCCAAGCCGCGUGAGGGAGGAAGGUACAGAGUAUCGUAAACCUCUUUGUCAGGGAACAAAGGCGGGACGUGUCCCCGGAUGAGUGUACCUGAAGAAAAGCAUCGGCUAACUCCGUGCCA